UACGUAGGGUGCGAGCGUUGUCCGGAAUUAUUGGGCGUAAAGAGCUCGUAGGCGGUUUGUCGCGUCUGCUGUGAAAACCCGAGGCUCAACCUCGGGCCUGCAGUGGGUACGGGCAGACUAGAGUGCGGUAGGGGAGAAUGGAACUCCUGGUGUAGCGGUGGAAUGCGCAGAUAUCAGGAAGAACACCGAUGGCGAAGGCAGUUCUCUGGGCCGUAACUGACGCUGAGGAGCGAAAGCGCGGGGAGCGAACAGG
rnacentral:rRNA from 1 species